AACGCACAUUGCGCCCGCCAGUAUUCUGGCGGGCAUGCCUGUCCGAGCGUCAUUUCAACCCCUCAAGCUCCGCUUGGUGUUGGGGCCCUACGUGCGCCGUAGGCCCCGAAUUCCAGUGGCGGGCUCGCCGCGAUCCCGAGCGCAGUAGCAUAACCUCGCUCAGGGCGCCGCGGCGGGCGCCGGCCGUGAAAAAAACCCACUGUACCAAAGGUUGACCUCGGAUCAGGUAGGAAUACCCGCUGAACUUAA
rnacentral:misc_RNA from 1 species